rfam:Salmo salar isolate Sally breed double haploid chromosome ssa05, whole genome shotgun sequence.
CAUGCACCAAUUUGUAAGUCGCUCUGGAUAAGAGCGUCUGCUAAAUGACUUAAA